ensembl:lncRNA
UAAACGGGGAAUGAGGUCGGUGUGUUUAAAAGAGCGUUAAGCACCCACUCUUCUUUUGUUGGUGGUUUUCAGCUUUUUUUUUUUUUUUUUAAUGUGAAAUUUAAUUUUGUAACAAACAGUAGCAAAUACUACUUAGUCCCAAAGACUUCAUAACCGUGGCGCAAGGGAGCUCGGUGUGUUGGGGGCGGGGGUUUGGAGGGGAAGUUCUGAGGUCUUUUGCUAUUCGGAUCACUGCCCCUCCUCCCCCCGCGGUGGGCGACGACGACAAACAUCACCCUGGGGAAUCCGGAGCGAAAAGUAGCCGCGCGUUUUCUGGGGCCGAGAAAACCUGUGAUUUUGCGCUUAGGUUGCUUUUAUCUGACUGAGACUCUACCUAUAAGCUUUUGGAGUUCAGACCCUGAGUCUUUGUUCUGCAUGCGACUGCUGCUGCCACUUAAAGACAUCGCAGAUAAUGUCCCCGAUUUAAGACCAGUGCUUAAUGCACAUUAACUUUCUUUUCUUUCCUUUUUAAGCUCUGCCUCCGACCUGCGGAGGGAUCACGCGGCAGUGGUGGGCAGAUAAAAGCCCUUUGGACGAGGUUCACCUCCGUCCUUGUUGUUCACUUGAGAGCAGUGGAGAGGAAAACGGUCCCCACGGGCGGACUUUGGCUUCUAGAGCCGCGGUGCUCGUCGGUCUCAGCCUCGCGGAGCCUCCGCCGGGCUCGGGCGCGGGGGAGGGGCGGCGGGGGAGGGGACGGGGAGAGGGGAUUUGGGGCUGGGGGGCUGGAAGCGCCAACAAGACCUGCUGGGAGGAUUGGCGUCUGCAGGCCCAAGAGUGACUUGGGAGCGCUGGGUGAGGAGGUGGAUCUCGGCCUAGUCUGCUUGUGCUGAAAUAGAACUCUUAUUUCGAGGAAAUCAAUCAAUCCGCAGGAAACAAAAAUGGAAGUCGAGGUUUGGGAAGACUUGUCACUUCCCCGACUUGAGUGGUGCGGGCUGGGGGCGGAGACUUGGGAGACUGAAGAGAGGCCCUUUCUCCCACCUCAGCGCCUUUCCCAGGACUUCUAGAAGGGAGAAUGACCCUCCUCACCUCCCUUUCCCAACCCACCCUGGCUCGGCUUUCAGUCCCUUUCUGCACCUCCUUUUCCCUUCAAGUGAGAAAAGCCUAGUUCCCGAGCUGACGGAGUCGGUUCCCUCGCCCCUCCCGCUUCCACGCGGGUCCCCCCCCCCCACCUCCCCAGCCAUCGUUACUGCCACCACCUCGGUUCCACUCAAUCGAUUUUUGCUGCAGGUCAACAUUUAUUACCGAUUCUCCGACAGGGGCGAAAAAAAUCCCGUCUGCAAAUUCAGGGCUGCAGCUCCCGGCGCGAAGCUCCCCUCCCCAGCCCGGAGCCUCCUUGCCUCGUGCAGCCCCGCCGGCCUGUCAAGCGCCCCGCGCCUGGAGUGCCAGCCUGGACAGCUGACCCGGGCGUUCUGGACCCCUGGAUUCUGCAGGGCCACGCGGCCCAGCCCUGCGGGGGACCCGCGAAGGAGCCGCUGCCGCACCUGAACGUGCUCCCGGCAGGCGGCAUCACCCUGGGCCUCCCUGGACGCCCGAACUGUGGCUCCAGCACCACUUUGUAUUGACC